UACGUAGGUGACAAGCGUUAUCCGGAAUUACUGGGCGUAAAGCGCACGCAGGCGGCUGAGUAAGUCUGACGUGAAAUCUCCCGGCUUAACCGGGAGCGGUCGUUGGAAACUACUUGGCUUGAGGCGAUGAGAGGGGUGUGGAAUUCCCGGUGUAGUGGUGGAAUGCGUAGAUAUCGGGAGGAACAUCAGUGGCGAAAGCGGCACCCUGGCAUUAGCCUGACGCUCAGGUGCGAAAGCGUGGGGAGCGAACGGG
rnacentral:rRNA from 1 species